rnacentral:lncRNA from 1 species
UUACCCACGGCUCAUGAGUGUGACGUUUUCAAUUUUAUUUUUAAACUAAUACUUAUGUGCUUUGUUGUUUGUAGCAAUUGAGGCAUCCACGCAAUAAUUAUGGAACCAAACCACAGAUCUGUCGAAAGAGGUAAUGUAAUUUCACAGAUUAUCAUUUCAAACUUUUCGCAAAUUUAUUGCAUUUCGCCAUAUCUUGAAUUCAAAGAGCAACCAUUCAUUGAAAGAGCUGCAAAAAAGCAUCGGAGAAGAAGAAGAAAAAGUAAGAAUAAAUUUGACCAUUUUUUUUUUAUUUUGAAAUCUCAUACAAUUUCUUCUCACUCUCUUGAAUUUCCCUUCUUCCCUAUAUUUGUUGUUCUGUAAAUCGGCCAAAAAUUUGUACCAGUAUUUGUAAAUUGUGUUUUUUUUUCCUUAAAAAAAUUGCACUGUUGUGUUUCAUUUGUCGGGUUAGGUGUGUAUAGAUUUAGAGUAGUAAUAUUUGAUCACACAUCAGGAAUUAGAUUUUGAAAUUGCUGUGCCUGUAAGUAAUCCGAUUGUGCUGAAAUUCGGUCUAAAUCAUGCUCCAUUAAAAUGCUUUCACCACAUUCUUUUCCAUCGGUGUGCAGUUAUUAUUAUUUAUUUAUUAUUAAACAUCUUUGCAGUUAUUUAAUUAACUAUCUAAUUUAUUUUGGUGUUGCAGGGUUUUUUUGUUUUUUUUAUAAAUUCAAUUGCAUAUACCUUCAUGCUUUAUACUUAUUACCAUCUAAAAUACAGAUUUCCCUCAUCUAUACAAGGACCGAGAUUUGCUGGUGGAAACAGAAAAAAACUAUCACCGCUAACUUUUUGAAACUGCAGAAAAAGGUAGGAGAAUUGGAAUUGAAUUUUAGAUUUGGAAGAAUAAUUAACAAACUAGAAGGAUUAGAAGACCUACACAAGCGUAGAGUGGUGCCAUGCCUUUUUAGUCUCCUACCUUUUGUUUCUUGAAUUUAUUUUUAUGUUUCUAUAUUUUAAUUCUUUUGUGGCAUUUGAGAUUUUUUAACAAUUUGAGAUUGUAGAGUUUGUGAAAAUAAAUGACAUAAAGUGAUUCACAAGUCACAAAUUUGAAAAAGAUGUUGUGCGAAGACAACAUGUUUUAAUUUGUAUUGGAAUUAAUUAUUGUGUAUUUUUUCCCUUCAUAUAUAUUUACUCGCAUUCAUAGAUUUUUCACUCACUUCUUAUAUUUUUGUUUCUCGAACAAGUGUCGCAGUUUUUCAGCACAAAGCAGUUUCGAUUCCGCAAUGUCACACAUAUUUUUCUCGAAUAAGUGGAUCAGGUCAUAAUUCUACUUAUUCAUCACCUCGAGGAAGCCAAAU